GGCAACGGGUCAUUAUUUAUCCAGUGCGGGCUGGCCCAGAGAUGGGCUCUGCAGGGUACAGGUUGUGGAAAUCCUCGGAUCCUCUUAACUCUAAGAACCAUGACCGGCUCAAAAGGACCUGAUGGCCUGACAGCUCAGAACUUUCUGUUGAGGAUCAGAGUUGGCGCUGUAGCUGCUCACAGGAAACGAAGCAGGAUCAGUUUAAGCUGGUUUACUCCAGCAAUCCUCAUGCACAAAUAAGAGGCCGGACUUUGU